CUCUGUACGGAGUUACAAAAGAACGAGGUAGAUGAAGAGGUCUGGAAAGGCCCGCCAUAGGAGGUAACAGCCCUGUAGUCAAAACUUCGUUCUCUCCUGAGUGGAUCCUGAGUACGGCGGAACACGUGAAAUUCCGUCGGAAUCCGGGAGGACCAUCUCCCAAGGCUAAAUACUCCCUAGUGACCGAUAGUGAACCAGUACCGUGAGGGAAAGGUGAAAAGCACCCCGGAAGGGGAGUGAAAGAGAUCCUGAAACCGUGUGCCUACAAGUAGUCAGAGCCCGUUAACGGGUGAUGGCGUGCCUUUUGUAGAAUGAACCGGCGAGUUACGAUCCCGUGCAAGGUUAAGUUUGAAAAGACGGAGCCGCAGCGAAAGCGAGUCUGAAUAGGGCGCAUGAGUACGUGGUCGUAGACCCGAAACCAGGUGAUCUACCCAUGUCCAGGGUGAAGUUCAGGUAA
rnacentral:rRNA from 1 species